AUUGAACGCUGGCGGCAGGCCUAACACAUGCAAGUCGAGCGGAUGAAGGGAGCUUGCUCCUGGAUUCAGCGGCGGACGGGUGAGUAAUGCCUAGGAAUCUGCCUGGUAGUGGGGGAUAACGUCCGGAAACGGGCGCUAAUACCGCAUACGUCCUGAGGGAGAAAGUGGGGGAUCUUCGGACCUCACGCUAUCAGAUGAGCCUAGGUCGGAUUAGCUAGUUGGUGGGGUAAAGGCCUACCAAGGCGACGAUCCGUAACUGGUCUGAGAGGAUGAUCAGUCACACUGGAACUGAGACACGGUCCAGACUCCUACGGGAGGCAGCAGUGGGGAAUAUUGGACAAUGGGCGAAAGCCUGAUCCAGCCAUGCCGCGUGUGUGAAGAAGGUCUUCGGAUUGUAAAGCGCUUUAAGUUGGGAGGAAGGGCAGUAAGUUAAUACCUUGCUGUUUUGACGUUACCAACAGAAUAAGCACCGGCUAACUUCAUG
rnacentral:rRNA from 1 species